rnacentral:rRNA from 1 species
AUUGAACGCUGGCGGCAGGCCUAACACAUGCAAGUCGGGCGAGCGGGGGAAGGGAGAGUAAUGUAUGGGGAUCUGCCUGAUGGAGGGGGAUAACUACUGGACACGGUAGCUAAUACCGCAUACCAUCAGAUGAACCCAUAUGGGAUUAGCUUGUAGGUAAGGUAACGGCUUACCUAGGCGACGAUCCCUAGCUGGUCUGAGAGGAUGAUCAGCCACACUGGGACUGAGACACGGCCCAGACUCCUACGGGAGGCAGCAGUGGGGAAUAUUGCACAAUGGGCGAAAGCCUGAUGCAGCCAUGCCGCGUGUAUGAAGAAGGUCUUCGGAUUGUAAAGCACUUUCAGUCGGGAGGCGUUACCUACAGAAGAAGCACCGGCUAACUCCGUGCCAGCAGCCGCGGUAAUAC